GCCUCCACCCCUUACGCAUUGCAGGCUUCCAACCCAUUCUCGCAGCGCCUCAUCCCCUUCCCUGACACCGCCGCCGCCGCCGCCGCUGAAGGGAUCUCAGGCAGCGGCGCCCUUCCCUCCUCUUGCUCGCUCUGCACCUAGCUAGGCGAUUGCGCAACCCUCUCCUCCUUUGUCCCUCCUUUUUUACCUCCGGCUCCUUGUGCUACCUCCCCAUGGCGCCUCCCUGUCCCGUUGUUCCAUGAAGGUCGAAGGUGUGACAAAGAUGAGAGGAUGAGCACGGGAGGAUGGGAAGACGAGUCGAUCUGGAGCAAGGCGGGGACUUCCCAGCCGCCAAUGUAUUCCUCCCCGUCACCUUCGACGAGUCGAGCUGGAGCAAGGUGGAUGGGUGCUCAUCUGCAGGUCAUGACCACUGGUGAUGUCCUCUCCUCCAAUGGAAGUUGAUGUCAAAUCCCCUCCUCGAAGGUAAAAACAUUGUGCGAUGAGGCAAAUGAGAUAUUAGGGAGGAAGCUAAUGUUCAGGUAUGGUAGAUCGUUCUCAUAAUUUUGCAAUGGCGUCUGUUAAUAGGUAAUAAGGUGUUACAAAAUAUAAUGGUAUGCUCUAUUCGGUUGUAGGCUUGUAGUAACAUCAUGCCAGUAUACUCUUAGGCGUGUUCUGCAUUGUUCACUUUGCUCAAAAUUUUGUAAUGGAAUCAUUUUGUUUUGUUAAUAGUGUGGAAUGAACCAACUAGAAAAAGUUAGGAAUAAUGUCUUCAUGAUCAUUUUUCGGUGCUGCGUACAUGAAAUACCUUCUCCAAGUUUUAAUUUAUGAAGCGGACUAGGACCUUUGCUCCAAGCACCUGUGGAAGAUACUAGCCGAGCUGCGAACUGGUGAGCCGCGGGCAAAAGAAAAUACCGUCGAUGCAGUCGCAGGUUGUGGGUGGAUAGGCAAGCCGGUUGAGCCGAUGUGUUCACACGGGCAUCCGCCAUCCGGUCGAGGAGCGAGCCCAUGUGGUAAAGCUGCUUCGGGCCUUCCAGGUCGCACGCCGAUGCAGGUCUAGGCGAAGCGGCGUUCGCUGUUAGGUGAAGCAGAUCAACGAGAGAAAGUCAUUGGGUUUUGAAGAAAGCAAUCAACAGAUCAAUGUCGACCGGGGCAUGCUGAUAGGUGAUGGGCCAUCACACUUCACCAUCAGCUGGAAACUGAGAUUCGUCUUCGUCUAGACCUCUACCUUCAGUGAUUGUUCUGAUGCCAUUAUUUUCCAAUGAAACACCAUAUUCAGAUUUAGAAUGCCUCGCGAAAACGGCAAAGGGUUUGAGGGUGGCGAUUUUUAGCCUUGGAGUUGUAAGCCUUGCUUUAAGUGAAACAUGAUAUUUUAUCUACCACAAUAUACUAUUGGAGGUUGAUGAGAAUUAUUCCCUAUAAACGUCAGUCGUUGUUGUAUGUUCUUUUCACAUGAUCAGGCUAUGGAAGGGGUCAGGAUGGAUAGGGGAUCAAGUAUUAUCAGUGAGGACUUGAACCCUGCAAAAUAAGAACAAGUUACAGUCUAUUGCUAUCUUCAGAAACAAAAUAUAUAUACAUUUUCAUAAUUGUUUAUGGACACAUACUUAACUUUUGCGAAAAAGCCAGCUAAGAAAUUUUGCUGCACCGACUUUGUAAACCCAAAGGAUCACACCAAGCCAGUGCAUGAGGUAUGUUAUGUUCUCUGCCUGAGCAUACAUUUAUCUCUUAAUUUGUUCACGGGAUGCCAUAUUGUAUCAAAUGCUUGCAAUUGAGUUAUGCUCCUGGUGCUUGUUGAGAUGACAAACAUUGGAGUCAACAGAGCCGUGGAUUGCACUUGCCACGUCGACGCCAUGAUAUUUGCCUUUGAAUGCUUUCAUGAUGUAUGUUCUCGAUACACUUGUAGUUUGAGCAUUCUGAGCAUUGAUGUGUUUUCUACUUUGAGCUCAGUCAUGAAGUCUGAGUGCAGGGGUGGGGCGUGGUUAGGCUGGUGGGUGUCCCACACAAGGAGGUGGCAUUCAAUACCCACCUGAUGAACUUCCUCAGUGGCAAGACCUUGAAAGGUGCCUUCUUUGGGAACUACAAGCCACACACCAACCUCCCAGACGUUGUCAAGAUUUACGCGAGGAAGGAGCUGGAGCUGGAGAAGUUCAUCAUGCACGACGGACCUUUCUAACAGAUCAAAUUGUGCUCAUCAUUCUAAAGAGGAGGUACUGCUGCUUCACGAGGUUGGAUGAUUAGAUUGAGCUUCUUCGGUCAUGUCCCUUGCUACUUUUAGAUUUGGUGCUUGAGAAACAUAAGAAAAAUGCUUAUAAGAUCUUCCCUCAGGUAAUAAUGUAAUAGUUGUGAGACACCAUGUGUUGAGCUCUUUUUUGUCACAAAGAACUAACACUGUUUUGUGUUGUCGUACUGUUUUGUGUUGUCGUACAACACUUGCCAGCAGCAAGCAGUCUUUAGUUACUUUGUACCUGAACGUUUUGCACAGUAAUGGUCUGCAGUUUCUCUGUU